GGGAGGUGUGAUCCCACGCUCACUGGGAGGUGUGAUCUCACACUCGCUGGGAGGUGUGCUAUCGUCUUCCCU
rnacentral:pre_miRNA from 2 species